UCGGAUGUUUGCGCCAGGGAACUUUUUUGGUUUUCAAAUGUGACCACAUAACUUCCUAGCUUUCUGACGGCAGACAACCAAGGAAGAGAAAAGAGAUUCUUGCACAAGGAAUAAAGAGAGAGCGACUAGAGAGAUUUGGGGUUUUCCGGCGAUGUUCACGGCAAUACUGUCGGCCGUCUACUACGGCGUAACCAACAGUCAUGAAGAUUCUGUGGUUGUAGGUGUAGAUCGGAGGACCUAAGAGGUGAUGUUGAUGUUUAGUUCGAGAAACCCUAAGCCACAAGAACCCCUCAUCUCUAAUCGGAAUGAAAAGAAAAUGAUCGGCGAGACUAGGUGUUUUUGUGGCAAGGUCGCGUUCUUGAUGAUCUAAUGGUUGUCGAGCAGCGGAGACGAAGGAAACAACCACGCUGACGACAACGAUGGUUAUCUGGGGUUCCAAAUGUUGGUCGAUGGCGGCGGUUGUUCCCACGAAGACCUAGCCGCCGACUCCGGAGAUGGCGUCUAGGAUUCCGAUUGGAACUCCGAUUGAUGUCUGGCCUUUACGUGACCAGCCACAAGAAGAAUAUGGUUUGACUUAUGAUCAGUAAAACCAUCAAACCAACGAGUUCUUAGACCAUGAAACCAAUGAGGUUGAGGGUCAAGAUGAAAGUUCUGACGAAGAUCAAAUCGAGAACCAUGUGUGUCCUGCUUCUGUGACUGAACGUUUAUAUGAUAAUGGCCCUUAUGAGCACAAUGAAGGUAAGUGCUUUACCUUUUUCUGUUCGGGUUUCACGCGUUUCUCAACUCUUAUUUAACUUCAAUCAUCCAAUUAAUCAAUUGUUGAUCCCAAUCUGCUGUAAGUCGAUGCAGUUCAAUAGGUGCAAUUCGGAUAUUGUUUAUGUAAUAAUAAUGUUAAAUCAUGUAUCUGUUGUUUAUAUAACUUAAUGUUUUUUCACUAAAUACGUUUCCAGAUUUGAUUGAGUUGACUCAGUCAUUGUGUGAAAUAAGUUAGGAUGAUGGUGAAUCUAAUGUUAUUUGGGAAUGUUAUAGGCGAUUGUGAGGUUUCAUAUUAGGAAUAACAUUAGGGCUAGGGUUUGGGGAUGAGUUGGUGUAAUCGAGUCAGGUUCAACAGGUUCAGUCAAAUCUCUCUUUAAUUGAAAGGGCAUUCUUUCCCAAACACGCAUUUUUACUACAUAACCAGAAUGUUUAGCUGAUGUAUUGAAGUUAUUUGCUCCUCAGGAAAUAAGAUUCACAUAUUUGAAGCAAAAAUCGCGGUUUGAGGUACAAACAGAUGUGAUAAGUAUUAGGUUAUGAUGGAGGUUUAAUCAAAUUAGAAUAUCUGGUAUCUGUUCUGAUCAUCACACUCACAUGUGUUGGAGGGCUAGGUUUUUUUGAAGGUUGAGAACUAUAGACUAUUUAACAGUAAGCAUCCUUUCGGUUUAAUUUAUAGAUUUUGUAUGUUGGAAGUGAAUUUUAUGAGAGCAUAUGGUACCUGUUCUACUCAUCUUAUUCACAUGGGUUGCAGGGAUGGGGUUUUUUGAAGGUUGACUAUCGGCUAUUUAACGCCUCAGUUAAAUGUGAGUGUGUAAUGAACCAGUGAUAUUUUGGUUUCUUCCUUCUUAAAUGUGAAUUAGAAUUACCUAUGUUAGAUGAUAUGAACUGGAUGCUUUGUAUACAGCCUACAUUUUCUCCAAUGGUUGUUUUUCUUUACAAGUUUAUUGUAAACAGCAUACCUCAAAAUGUAAUACCCAUUUACCUUUAGUCUUCUAUCUGAGGUUGGUAGAACAGACAACUUCUUUUA